rnacentral:lncRNA from 12 species
CACUGAAUAUCUGUGAAAUUCUCUGUGCCCCUUGGAGAAAUGAAGUUAUACAUAAAUGGAAUACAGUAUCCGCUGGCUAAGAUGUCCACAAGCUUGCAUAGAGGAUCAAAGACAGGAGAUUCCGGUAACAGAGAGAAAAUGCAGAAACAUGUUCCAGGUUAUCAAGAUUAUGCACCAACAAACCAAAAACAUGGUGUGUAUAUAUUUUGUCUUCCACACUACACUAUAAACUCAAAGGCAGUUCUCUGUGUUAAUGAUUUUUUCUUUUUAUCUUUACCAGCAUCCAGCCUGGUGACUCAGUUGAUUGAUGCGUCUGCUCUAUGCCGAUCUAUUCCAAGUACCAUGAAGAAAUAAAAAGGAAAUUAAAAAGUAAAUAAAAAUUCUGACCAAAACA